rnacentral:rRNA from 1 species
UACGUAGGGGGCAAGCGUUGUUCGGAAUUACUGGGCGUAAAGCGCGCGUAGGCGGUUUGAAAAGUCAGAUGUGAAAGCCCCGGGCUCAACUUGGGAACUGCAUUUGAUACUGUCAGACUAGAGUACAGAAGAGGUGACUGGAAUUCCCAGUGUAGCGGUGAAAUGCGUAGAUAUUGGGGAGGAACACCAGAUGCGAAGGCGGGUCACUGGGCUGAUACUGACGCUGAAGCGCGAAAGCCAGGGGAGCGAACGGG